AUACGUAGGGGGCGAGCGUUGUCCGGAAUGAUUGGGCGUAAAGGGCGCGUAGGCGGCGCGGUAAGUCUGGAGUGAAAGUCCUGCUUUCAAGGUGGGAAUUGCUUUGGAUACUGCCGCGCUUGAGUGCAGGAGAGGUUAUCGGAAUUCCCGGUGUAGCGGUGAAAUGCGUAGAGAUCGGGAGGAACACCAGUGGCGAAGGCGGGUAACUGGACUGCAACUGACGCUGAGGCGCGAAAGUGUGGGGAGCAAACAGGAUUAGAUACCCUGGUAGUCCACACUGUAAACGAUGAAUACUAGGUGUAGGGGGUAUCGACUCCCUCUGUGCCGCAGUUAACACAAUAAGUAUUCCGCCUGGGGAGUACGGCCGCAAGGUUGAAACUCAAAUGAAUUGACGGGG
rnacentral:rRNA from 1 species